GACGAACCGUGCGAACGUUAUUCGGAAUCAUUGGGCUUAAAGGGCGCGUAGGCGGCGGCGUAAGUUGGAAGUGAAAUCCCAUCGGCUCAACCGUGGAAUCGCUCCCAGUACUGCGUCGCUCGAGGGGGAUAGGGGUUUGCGGAACUACCGGUGGAGCGGUGAAAUGUGUUGAUAUCGGUGGGAACGCCAGUGGCGAAAGCGGCAGACUUGACCCUUCCUGACGCUGAGUGCGCGAAAGCUAGGGGAGCAAACGGG
rnacentral:rRNA from 1 species